CAUGAAGCUGGAUUCGCUAGUAAUCGCGCAUCAGCCAUGGCGCGGUGAAUACGUUCCCGGGCCUUGUACACACCGCCCGUCAAGCCAUGGGAGCCGGGGGUGCCUGAAGUACGUGACCGCGAGGAGCGUCCUAGGGCAAAACUGGUGACUGGGGCUAAGUCGUAACAAGGUAAC
rnacentral:rRNA from 1 species